GCUCAUUCAAAAUGGAUUUAAAUCUUUAUUUAGCCUAAUACAGUACAGUGCAAAAGAUAAUCUUAAUCCAGUGUCAGAUGGAUGAAUGCUGGGAUGCACACAAUAGGAAAAGUAGAGAACCGUUUGCAGUUUAGGCUGAGGGGUGAAACCCUUGACUAGCCUCUGCUGUGUGUCUGUGUCAGUAGGCUACAAUAAUACGAACUGUACCACCAAUCUCAUACGGAUGGGUUUACAAACAAUUAUUCAAUAUAACACUUCAACAUAAACAGAACUUCAGGUACAAUAUGUAUCAGAUUGAAAAGAAGGGGGUCUUUAAAUAUUUAGGCUUGACUUUAGAGACAGAAUGUGUAACAAAUCUUCGUGACUUGAUAGCCGAUGCCACUGCAUUGCUCUCUAAGCAUUGUAGGAGGAAGAAGAAACAUUGCCACCGUGGCCUGUCCAGUUGGUGUGGACAUACUUGCCAGGGUUGGACAGAAGUUCAUAGGUAUGCGCUCCGAAGUAGUCUCUCUGGGCCUAAAAUGACGCACAGUGUUAAUUAAGAGUCAUCUCAUAAUAUAGAAGAAAGGUAUUAUGAUAGUAACACUAUCAUCGCAGGGUUUUAAAGUCCACCCAUUUCACUGAACAGCCCCACACACAGACUCCUCUUAGCUAACGUUGACAUGUGACAAUACCAAGUCUACAACCCAUUUAACCGUUUUACAUAUUGUCUUGUCAGAGCCUCUUACCGCUACGCAUUAAAAAUGUGUCGUCGCUUCCCCCCCUCCGGAACUACUUGUAAACAACAAUGGGCCAUUGGGGGAGGUUGUCCCUAAGCAGUGUAUGAAGAGAUGGUCUCUGUUGUAUGGGUGUUACCUGGAGGAGGUUAGCCGGGAGCAUGUCGUGUCGGUAGCCAUCGUAGAAGGACAGGGCGGUAGUGAAACAGGGCAUGGGGAUCCCCUGCUGCACCCCAACGCUGACCGUCCGCCGCCACGAGUCCUAGAAAAUGACAAACACAGGCACUGUUCAACGGAAGCACACGCAACAACCACUGCAUGAGACAGAAGAAACCCUGCAGCCAACGACAACAACGACGUGAGGUGAAUUCAGUUCAGUUUCAGGUUUUAGAAAAUAAUUGCUAAAGAAAAUGGAUGUAUAACAUUAAGCUGAGAUUGUAAACGAGAGGCACAUGACAUUGAUAUAAUCUACAUUACAACAUAUUCCCACAAAGAAAUAACCAAUCAGCCCAACCAUAAUUCCCCUAUGUGGGACGAUGCAUACUUACUACAUUUGGAUCGGAUUUGGGUCCUGUAGAUCAAUGCUCUAGUAUAUUCAUUUUAUAUUGGGGGGAAAAAAACAAUUGCUUCCUCCAUUUGCAAUCUAGUAUCAGCUUUUCCUCCCCAAAUCCUAAGCUUAACCCUCAGAGGCAGAAAUAAAACAAAUACUUAAAAUAAGCAUCUUGGAACAUAGGCCACUUUUCUUCCUCACUUUACCUGGCAGUCCUGAAUUGCAUUACUGAAGAAGUUAUCUAACAGCAGAUUCUGCAGCUCAGCGUCCCUGUCAAAGGCCUCUUUAAUCUUCCCUAGGAAAACACUGUAGAAGAAAGCCAGGGAGAAACAGACACUGGCAUCAGAGUUCAAUGUAUUACUUGGGCAAUUGAUUAAUAGAUAGCAGGUAAUAAAAUCACUUAAAAUAUGAAAUCAUGUUUUAUCCUCAUGCAAGUUUUUUUUCUUUAGACCUGUGUUAAUAUCAUGAUGCAACCACUGUAGUUUGUUAUAUUCCUUUUCUCUUUCUCACAAAAUAUAUUUUCAUAUGGUAACAACAGUGGGUAUAUAAAAGAAUCACCCCCCUUUAAAAUAAUCACAUUUUGUUGCUUUGCAGCCUGAAAUGAAAACGGACAAAAACUAUUUGUUUUAUUCAGCUGUAUUUACAACUCAUAACAUCCAAGUGAAAGAUAUAAUACAAACUUGUCAGAAAAAAAAAGUACAAAUUAAAAAACAGAAUCACUAAGAUGGAAAAAUAAUCACCCUCCUAAAAAUGACUUGUAAACCCAACCAGGUGUAGUUAAUCACCUUCUCAAUAGCACACAAAGCCAACUGACUUUCAACUGUGAUCAGCUGUGAUCAUUUUGAUUAGCUCAGCAUGAAACAAGCUUUUCCUGAAGCAUUUCAGUCCUUGGUAGUGCAACUGAAGAAAACAAUCAACUAUGGGAAGGCAUUGUCAAAAGAUCUCCGGGAUAAAGUUGUGGACAGGCACAAGUCAGGAGAUGGAUACAAAUUCAAAGGCUUUAUCAGUGCCUAGAAGCACAGUGAAGUCUAUUCUUAAGAAGUGGAAGGUAUUUGGUACGUCGCUCCAAACUGGAAGAAAGCCAGGAGGAAACUGGUCAGAGAGGCUACCAAGAGGCCUACAGCAACUCUGAAGCAGUUGCAGGAAUUCAUGACAAAGAGUGGUCAUUGUGUGCAUGUGACAACAAUAUCACAAAUUCUCCACAAAUGUGGCUUGUAUGGGAGGGUUGCAAGAAAAAAGCCACUGCUCAAGAAAGGCCACAUGCAGUCACGACUGAGCUUUGCCAAAACGCACCUUGAAGAUUCUACGGCCAUGUGGAAAAAGGUGUUAUGGUCAGAUGAGACUAAAAUAUGUCCGGCCAAAAUCCAAUACAGCUCACCAUCCAAAUAACACCAUUCCUACAGUAAAGCAUGGAGGUGGUAAUAUCAUGUUAUGAGGUUGUUUCUCUGCAGCAGGAGACAUGUUGGUGUUAUAUCUUUCACUUGGAUGCACUGAGUAAAUACAGCUGAAUGAAACAAAAACUGUGUCUGUCUUCAUUUCAGGCUGCAAAGCAACAAAAUGUGAUUAUUUUAAAGGGGGAUGAUUCUUUUCUAUACCCACUGUAUUUCAGAUGCACACUGAUAAGUGUUACAAAUGUCUUGUAUGCAGCCAUUAAUUGUGGGUCUAACUGGGUGACAUAACAUUUUGGUAAGUGUCUAAAUACAAUGCCAAUUGUCUAUAUACAGUUCCCAAUUAUGGUAUGUUAAAAGCCCUAAGCCCUGAAAAACAUGGGAUCUUAAAUGUAAGUAAUUUGGCUGACAUUUGACCGGGUAUGGUAGGCGCCAUGUUCUAACACAUUACCAUUCUUAUACACCUCACCUCCGGAUGAUGCAGCCUCCUCUCCACAUCAGGGCAAUGGCCCCAUAGUUCAGAGACCAGCCAAACUCUUUUGCUGCCUGUCUGAGAAGCAUGAAGCCCUGAGCGUAUGAGAUGAUCUUGGAGGCAUAGAGGGCCUGAAUAGGACACAGAGCAAAAUCACCUGUUUGUAAUUUAAUUAUUAACACUGAGGAUGGUGAUCUAGGACAGACAAAUAAUUAUUUACAGAAAACCAUUUUAAACAAAUGAUUAGUGAAUAUUGUUCUAUGGACACCAGUUUAACCAGUUUAACUGAUGUAUUGUAUAAUACAUUUGAAACAUUUAGCAGACUGCCAGGGCACAAUGCCAGAUGUUUUAUAUUUUUCAGCUCCGGGAUACAAACCAGGAACUUAUAGUUUAUUGCACAAACACUAACCACAGACACUCAGAU
ensembl:lncRNA